rnacentral:lncRNA from 1 species
UUUCUCGCCAGGAUGCUGGAAAGUCCUUCCCGCUCCGCCGCAGCGAGGAUGGGAGCGCGUCUCCCCGCUGAGCUACGCCAACCUGUUGCGCAGCGCCCUUCGCUGCACACAUGCUCAGCUCGGCUGCAUGACUGCACCAUCUAGAGGCUGCGCCUGCCUGCUCGGAGCAGCCCGGCUCUAUCGCACCCCCUAAAUCGCCCCGUUUUCCCCCCAAAAUUGCCGUGCUUUUCUCCCAAAUCUCCCCGCUUUUCCCCGGCAACAAGCGGGUUCAGGCCGUGGCAGGGCUGCAUCCCGCUGGGCAGGAAAAGGGGGCUGGCGAGUCAAGCCCAGCUCUCCUCCCGGACUUUCUGCUCCUCCGGAGAUGUCGGCUCCUCCGUGUCCAGCUCUACAGAAUCCUCCUGUCUCUCUGGCCCAGGAGGAAUUGCCUCCAUCCUGCUUGGGGUGGGCACAUGGAAAUGUCUGAUGGUGGAAGGGAACCCUGGAGUGUUGAGUUCCCCUCCCACUGCCCAUUCUCAUCCCUGGGCCAAGGCAAAGGGGUACAAAGCACGAAACAAAAAGCUGAGAACAACUCCAGCAAGGCAGAGAAGGCCUCAGAGGUGCCGGUGGGAUCCAUGGCCAGCAGAGCUUUCAUCCCUCUGCCUGUUCCCUCACAAAGCCAAGACAUCCACACUUCUGGAGUCUUAUCUCAGAGCUACCUGAGUGUUGAAGAUUGCAAUACAAGAUGUUUUUAAUUACCAUCCCUAUGGCAGAUGACCUUUGUCAAGUGGGCAGUUUGCCUUAUCUCUCUCUUUGAGUGACCACAUUCACACCUCCCUCAGGAGGGGACAUUGCUGAUAACAGCUAUUGAAUGUCCCUGCAUGGCUGAUAAGAACUACAACAUCCCACUGGGAGAUGUGAGCCCAGAGGGAGGAGCCAAGCAUUGCUACCCAGAUAUAAUCCAGAGGUUUUGAGACACCAGCACAGCUUUCUCCAUGGGAUUCCCCACAGAAACAGCAGCUGCCUCUCCUUCCACUGGAUCUUCAGAGGAAGAAUCCAUCCUUCUCUACAGGAUCCCUGCUCCAGCAGAA